GACGAAGGGGGUUAGCGUUGUUCGGAAUUACUGGGCGUAAAGCGAGUGUAGGUGGUUUGCCAAGUUGGGUGUGAAAGCCUUGAGCUCAACUCAAGAAAUGCACUCAGUACUGGCAGACUAGAGGACCGGAGAGGAUAGUGGAAUUCCCAGUGUAGUGGUGAAAUACGUAGAGAUUGGGAAGAACACCAGUGGCGAAGGCGGCUAUCUGGACGGUUUCUGACACUAAGACUCGAAAGCGUGGGGAGCAAACAGG
rnacentral:rRNA from 1 species